UGGGCAAGGAUCCAAUCUAAAGAUGUCAUUAGUGGUGAUAACAUGGGCAAGGAUCCAAUCUAAAGAUGUCAUUAGUGGUGAUAACAUGGGCAAGGAUCCAAUCUAAAGAUGUCAGUAGUGGUGAUAACAUGGGCAAGGAUCCAAUCUAAAGGUGUCAUUAGUGGUGAUAACAUGGGCAAGGAUCCAAUCUAAAGAUGUCAUUAGUGGUGAUAACAUGGGCAAGGAUCCAAUCUAAAUACGUCAUUAGAGUGGUGAUAACAUGGGCAAGGAUCCCAUCUAAAGCGUGGUCAUUAGGGCUGAUAACAUGUGCAAGGAUCCCAUCUAAAGCCUUGUCAUUGGGGAUGAUAACAUGGGCAAGGAUCCCAUCUAUAGCGUGGUCAUUAGGGCUGAUAACAUGUGCAAGGAUCCCAUCUAAAGCCUUGUCAUUGGGGAUGAUAACAUGGGCAAGGAUCCCAUCUAUAGCCUGGUCAUUAGGGCUGAUAACAUGUGCAAGGAUCCCAUCUAAAGCCUUGUCAUUGGGGAUGAUAACAUGUGCAAGGAUCCCAUCUAAAGCCUUGUCAUUGGGGAUGAUAACAUGGGCAAGGAUCCCAUCUAUAGCCUGGUCAUUAUGGAUGAUAACAUGGGCAAGGAUCCCAUCUAUAGCCUGGUCAUUAUGGAUGAUAACAUGGGCAAGGAUCCCAUCUAUAGCCUGGUCAUUAUGGAUGAUAACAUGGGCAAGGAUCCCAUCUAUAGCCUGGUCAUUAGGGAAGAUAACAUGGGCAAGGAUCCCAUCUAUAGCCUGGUCAUUAGGGAUGAUAACAUGGGCAAGGAUCCCAUCUAUAGCCUGGUCAUUAGGGAUGAUAACAUGGGCAAGGAUCCCAUCUAUAGCCUGGUCAUUAGGGAUGAUAACAUGGGCAAGGAUCCCAUCGAUCGCCUGGUCAUUAGGGAUGAUAACAUGGGCAAGGAUCCCAUCUAUAGCCUGGUCAUUAUGGAUGAUAACAUGGGCAAGGAUCCCAUCUAUCGCCUGGUCAUUAGGGAUGAUAACAUGGGCAAGGAUCCCAUCUAUAGCCUGGUCAUUAGGGAUGAUAACAUGGGCAAGGAUCCCAUCUAUCGCCUGGUCAUUAGGGAUGAUAACAUGGGCAAGGAUCCAUCCAAUGCUUUUCGCUUUAUCUUGUGUAAAUAUUUGCCCUGCACACUUCCAUCACCUGGCUUGGAUGGGGUGAGCCUCAGUAUCAUUCCAACUGAGUUAACAAGAUGUUAGAUCACAGUAGAGAUACUGAAGACAGUGUGGUGGAGGAGGAGGAGGAGGCUGAUCACAGUAGAGAUACUGAAGACAGUGUGGAGGAGGAGGAGGCUGAUCACAGUGGAGAUACUGAAGACAGUGUGGUGGUGGAGGAGGAGGCUGAUCACAGUAGAGAUACUGAAGGCAGUGUGGAGGAGGAGGCUGAUCAUAGUAGAGAUACUGAAGGCAGUGUGGUGGAGGAGGAGGAGGCUGAUCACAGUAGAGAUACUGAAGACAGUGUGGUGGAGGAGGAGGAGGAGGAGGCUGAUCACAGUAGAGAUACUGAAGGCAGUGUGGUGGAGGAGGAGGAGGCUGAUCACAGUAGAGAUACUGAAGACAGUAUGGAGGAGGAGGCUGAUCACAGUAGAGAUACUGAAGACAGUAUGGAGGAGGAGGCUGAUCACAGUAGAGAUACUGAAGACAGUGUG
ensembl:lncRNA